rnacentral:rRNA from 1 species
UCCGUAACUUCGGGAGAAGGUGCGCCUCUUGGUGUGGUCACGUGCGUGACUGAGCAUCGAGGGGUCGCAGUAACCUGGCCGCUGCGACUGUUUAUCAAAAACACAGCACUCUGCAAACACGAAAGUGGACGUAUAGGGUGUGACGCCUGCCCGGUGCUGGAAGGUUAAUUGAUGGGGUCAGCCGCAAGGCGAAGCUCUUGAUCGAAGCCCCAGUAAACGGCGGCCGUAACUAUAACGGUCCUAAGGUAGCGAAAUUCCUUGUCGGGUAAGUUCCGACCUGCACGAAUGGCGUAACGACAGCGGCGCUGUCUCCACCCGAGACUCAGUGAAAUUGAAAUCGCUGUGAAGAUGCAGCGUUCCCGCGGCAAGACGGAAAGACCCCGUGAACCUUUACUAUAGCUUUACACUGAACGUUGAGUUCUUCUGUGUAGGAUAGGUGGGAGGCUAUGAAACCAGGACGCUAGUUCUGGUGGAGCCAUCCUUGAAAUACCACCCUGAAGUGCUUGACGUUCUAACCUAGGUCCGUAAUCCGGAUCGGGGACCGUGUAUGGUGGGUAGUUUGACUGGGGCGGUCUCCUCCCAAAGAGUAACGGAGGAGCACGAAGGUACGCUCAGCGCGGUCGGACAUCGCGCACUGUGUGCAAAGGCAUAAGCGUGCUUGACUGCGAGAUCGACGGAUCAAGCAGGUACGAAAGUAGGUCUUAGUGAUCCGGUGGUUCUGUAUGGAAGGGCCAUCGCUCAACGGAUAAAAGGUACUCCGGGGAUAACAGGCUGAUACCGCCCAAGAGUUCAUAUCGACGGCGGUGUUUGGCACCUCGAUGUCGGCUCAUCACAUCCUGGGGCUGUAGCCGGUCCCAAGGGUAUGGCUGUUCGCCAUUUAAAGUGGUACGCGAGCUGGGUUCAGAACGUCGUGAGACAGUUCGGUCCCUAUCUGUCGUGGGCGUUGGAGAUUUGAGGGGGGCUGCUCCUAGUACGAGAGGACCGGAGUGGACGUUCCGCUGGUGUUCGGGUUGUCAUGCCCAUGGCAUUGCCCGGUAGCUACGAACGGAAGUGAUAACCGCUGAAAGCAUCUAAGCGGGAAGCACGCCCCAAGAUGAGAUCUCCCGAGAGCUUGACUCUCCUAAGGGCACCAUCAAGACUAGGUGGUUGAUAGGCACGGUGUGGAAGUGCAGCAAUGCAUUGAGCUUACGUGUACUAAUGAGCCGUGAGGCUUGACCAU